CAACCCUCAAGCCUGGCUUGGUGUUGGGGCUCUGCGCCUGCAGUCCCCUAAAUCCAGUGGCGGACACGCUAGGUCUCCGAGCGCAGUAGUUUCUUCUCGCUCAGGGCGUCCGGCGUGGGCUUGCCUCGCACCCAUCUUUCUAA
rnacentral:misc_RNA from 1 species